GUGGCAGCAUUGCCGCUUUAUUUGCUUUGUUAUGCAUCAGUAAGCGUUUGGUUUAUGAUGAGAAAAAAACAAGGAAGUGUUACGUAACGUCCAGGUUUUUCUCUUUAAAACUGCCAACAUUCUUCUAAUUAUCUGAUUUUUUCUUUCGGUUUUGGUUCCGAGUCAUUAGUUCGGUUCCCUGUUGACAUCCAGUUUCUCCAUAACAAAGGAAACUUGUGUAAAACCUUCAGAAAUAACGGGAUCCGGAGAGGAGCCGCCCGAGCAGUGAGGAAAUGAUCUUAUGAAUAUUAACAGGAAGAACAAGAAAGAAGAAUUGAUGUCCCCAAUAAUUUCACAGCUGUGACUCCAACCAGAAGGCCUCUCACCAAUCAUUCCUCUGAGGAGGAAACAAGCAGCUCAAUGGAUCUGAGUGCUUCUCCUUCCUUUUCAAGCGAGCAGCUGAAAAAAACAAAGGAUGAUGAAGGCCAGAGCCAGUCACCAAGUUUCUCCAGUGGCUUCAGUUUGAAUCGUGUCGUCAAUCAACAGCUAAAGAAAACCGACAAAGACAAACGACGAGAAAAUGUAGAAAAGCUUCAAGAUCUAUAUGAAGUAGAUGAAAUACAAAGACAUCCCAGAAAAUUACCAAGAUCAAAAAUAAGCAGAUAUAAAUCAAUUCCUUCUGCAAUCAAAGAUUCUACAGAUUUACCAACAAGUGGAAGAAAAACCAAAAAACCUCGUCUCAGGAAGAAACUUGUAAAAGCCUUGGAGCAGACAGAAGAUCUUGCAGCUGAUGAGGAUCAACUUAAACAAACUGAAGAACCUGACCAAUUUGCAGGCCCACAGAUACCUU